AGAACGAACGCUGGCGGCAGGCCUAACACAUGCAAGUCGAGCGAGGGGUAACCCUAGCGGCGGACGGGUGAGUAACGCGUGGGAACGUACCCUUUGGUUCGGAAUAGCCCUGGGAAACUGGGAGUAAUACCGGAUACGGUCGAGAGACGAAAGAUUUAUCGCCGAAGGAUCGGCCCGCGUUGGAUUAGCUUGUUGGUGAGGUAAUGGCUCACCAAGGCGACGAUCAGUAUCUGGUUUGAGAGGAUGAUCAGACACACUGGAACUGAGACACGGUCCAGACUCCUACGGGAGGCAGCAGUGGGGAAUUUUCCGCAAUGGGCGAAAGCCUGACGGAGCAAUCUCGCGUGAGGGAUGACGGCCUAUGGGUUGUAAACCUCUUUUUUCAGGGAGGAACAAAAUGACGUGUACCUGAAGAAUAAGCAUCGGCUAACUCCGUG
rnacentral:rRNA from 1 species